rnacentral:antisense_RNA from 1 species
AAUAAGCGUUCAACGUUCUCUGGCACAGCUCGGAACGGACGCAGUCCUGCUUACCAAACUUAAUGAUGCCGACCAUCUCGUCUUCUUCGAAGCGGGAUAGCGCAUCGCUGAGCCCCGAUACUACGCCACGUGGUAAAUCGCACUGGGUAAUAUCACCGUUAACAAUCACCGUCACAUUUUCACCGAGACGGGUC